rnacentral:rRNA from 1 species
GACGAACGCUGGCGGCGUGCUUAACACAUGCAAGUCGAACGGUGAAGCGCCUUCCUUUUUGGUGGGUGUGGAUGAGUGGCGAACGGGUGAGUAACACGUGAGUAACCUGCCCCCUUCUUCUGGAUAACCGCAUGAAAGUGUGGCUAAUACGGGAUAUUCUGGGUCUGUCGCAUGAUGGGUCUGGGAAAGAUAUUGUUUCGGUGGGGGAUGGGCUCGCGGCCUAUCAGCUUGUUGGUGGGGUGAUGGCCUACCAAGGCGGUGACGGGUAGCCGGCCUGAGAGGGUGGACGGUCGCACUGGGACUGAGACACGGCCCAGACUCCUACGGGAGGCAGCAGUGGGGAAUAUUGCGCAAUGGGCGCAAGCCUGAGGCAGCGACGCCGCGUGAGGGAUGGAGGCCGUCGGGUUGGGAACCUCUUUCGCCAGUGAAGCAGGCCUGCCUCGUUUGUGGGUGGGUUGACGGUAGCUGGAUAAGAAGCGCCGGCUAACUACGU